AGUGAACGCUGGCGGUAGGCCUAACACAUGCAAGUCGAACGGCAGCACAGUAAGAGCUUGCUCUUACGGGUGGCGAGUGGCGGACGGGUGAGGAAUACAUCGGAAUCUACUUUUUCGUGGGGGAUAACGUAGGGAAACUUACGCUAAUACCGCAUACGCCCUACGGGUGAAAGCAGGGGAUCUUCGGACCUUGCGCGAUUGAAUGAGCCGAUGUCGGAUUAGCUAGUUGGCGGGGUUAAGGCCCACCAAGGCGACGAUCCGUAGCUGGUCUGAGAGGAUGAUCGGCCACACUGGAGCUGAGACACGGUCCAGACUCCUACGGGAGGCAGCAGUGGGGAAUAUUGGACAAUGGGCGCAAGUCUGAUCCAGCCAUACCGCGUGGGUGAAGAAGGCCUUCGGGUUGUAAAGCCCUUUUGUUGGGAAAGAAAAGCAGCAGGUUAAUACCCCGCUGUUCUGACGGUACCCAAAGAAUAAGCACCGGCUAACUUCGUG
rnacentral:rRNA from 1 species